rnacentral:misc_RNA from 1 species
CUUUUUUUUUUUGCCUUAAUUGUUAUUAUGUUGAUUUGUGGUUUACUUACUUUUUUGCCUACACUAAAAAGUCUGAAAUUGGCAUCUUUAUCAUAUGUUGAGAUUUCUUCCCAAGCACUGUUAUUUUUCCUGUAUAACACCUUCUGCAUUUUACUGUUUACCUUUGUUACUCUCAAAUAUUGAGGUGUAAAAAGCAAGAAACUACGCUGCCUUUGUCUUUGCAUUUGAUUCACCAAAUACAUUAUAUUUUCUGUUUUUAUUUGCAUG